GGCUGCACCUGUGGCAUAUGGAGGUUCCCAGGCUAGGGGGUCCAAUCGGAACUGUAGCCACCGAUCUACACCACAGCCACAGCAAUGCCAGAUUCUAGCUAUGUCUGCAACCUACACCACAGCUCGUGGCAACGCCAGAUCCUUAACCCACUGAUCGAGGCCAGGGAUCAAACCUGUGUCCUCAUGGCUCCUAGUCGGAUUCGUUUCCGCUUUUUUAAAACUGUUGCAUCUUCAAAGAGGUCGCAUUCUCUGCUAAGGAAGAAAGGCCUGAAAACUGACAAUACAGUAUCUUUUUGAUAUGGGCUACAUUAAAGACUAGAGAGGACAGUGAAAUGGUAGCUAACAAAUUGGGAAGUGGCACAGGUCAGGAAAAAAGAGGUGGCUUCUAAACUAAAGAAACGGGGGUGGAAUGGAGAAGGGCAGUCUAGCCAGAACAGCAGAAUAGCAUUUACAAAGGCAGGCAGAGGGGGAGAAAGGCAUUGUAAGAAAUACUAAUAAAAUAGCUAAAGGCUGCUGUGAGGGGAAAGAAGAGAGGAGGGAGCAGAUGAGGCUGGAGUGGUAAGCAAACACCACUGUUAGGGGGGUUCUCUGUGCCUUGGGUCUUUGCCAGCCACCUCCCGCCCAUCCAGUUGCUCCCUGAGAAGCCCAAGGGAACUGGAGGAAGAAAGUGGGCCAAGAGAUUCUGGCCACCUCCUUUCCCUAUUCAAAACCACAAUGCUGAAGUGUAGUAAGAGAGACAGCAGUGCCAAAAUCAAGCAGGGCAGGCCCCCAAAUCCAUCCAAAAAGAAAUAGCCUCUGCCUAAAAAUACAGUAGCACAUAUCUGCAAAACUCCUGCUGUUGUGCAUACAUGAACAUACUAGACACAUCUUAUCACUUUUAUAAAUACCAAAUGCAACUACUUCACACAUAUACCCAAAGAAAUGUGUAUACUCAAUGGGAUAUCAAUAAUCUUUAACCUUCAUUAACCAGUGGACUUAAAACUAAUGAAUUCAAAACUGUUGAAAAGUACAUCCAUAUAACAUGCUGGUCUCCAAUUUAAAGACUCUUGAGGACAGAAACUACAUCCUAUUUAUUUCUGAACCCUCACCUCUCUCCUCCUACCACCAGCACCUAACAUUUUGCUUAUACACAGAAGAUUACAAUAAAUAUGUACUGUCAUUAUGCAGCAAUACCAUGCAUUUGUUAAAAUAGUUAAACAAAAUUUGGAUGCAGAAAAAGUUUACAUACUGGACUUGGGAAUUUCACGAGCAAGGAUAAUCAUAGUGUUUGUACAGGGCUCUCCGGUUGUUGAAAACCUCCGUUUACAUUCUCUCAUUCAAUUUUCACAUCUACCCAAUGGAAUAGGAAUUUCUUUCCCUGGUAAAGAGAGUAAAUAGAGAAGAAACUAAGUGAUGUGCCCAAGGUCGUGUGGCUAGUGACAGACCAAAAACUCUGAAACCCAGGUCUCCUUACUCAAAGGCUGUUCUUUCCAUGACAACCUUCAGUCAAUCAAAAAUAUUUAUAUAUUGAGGACAUAUUCUCCAAGCAAUGUACUAACAUGCUGGGAAAUACAACAGUGAACAAAUGUUACAACACAGUCCAGGAAGGGGGGAAAGACCUUAAAUAGUAAUAAAUAAUUACAAUGUGCAAAGACGACCAGAGAAUCUAAACUUGAGGCCUACUAAGGAAAAUAUAUAUAUGUUCACUGAGAUUUGUUAAAGAUGGUAAGACAGACUUUAUUCAGGAGUGAGAUAGGCAUAGGGACCACUGCAGUGGUACUUCUCAGCAGGGGACAGAGACUGGGUUCAGCUCCAAAUACAGCGUGGGCAAGUGGGAAUUUAUAACCAAGGAGCAAGGUCCAGGGGUGAGUGGACAGAAAAUUACUAAGAGGAAAUUACCAGGGUAAAAGGGACUCUGGUUAAACUGACCUAACAAGAUUCUUGCUAAAGACAGGCCGAGACUGAUUAUAAUCACCUGGGCAUGGUGGUGGAGGAGGAAGCUGAUCAGAUACUGAGGGUAGCAGGGGAUUCUAGUUAAACUUACUAGAGCGUUCCUGCUAAAACUACACUCUACAAUUAAGAGCACAGAUGGGCCUAGGAGAAGGUUUAAGAAAAUCUCGUCAAGCAAAGAAUCUUCAUCAGGGCCUCAGAGUCUCUCCAGGACAGAAGUAGUAUUAUGUUGAAUCCCAAGGAUUUUUCCUCACUUUAUUUUAUAUCAUACACAGGCAUCCACUCUACUAACUAUUGCCUAAGGCUUCUCCAACUUGAAGGUGCUUUUCACCUAAGGACCUUAUGAAAAAUGUAUUCGAAUUCAAGGAUUAGAGCCUGAAAGCUUGCAUUUCUAAGAUACUCCCAGGUGAUGCCAAAACUCCACACUUUAAGAGUCUAAAGUAGACUUCUUGGAGUUCCUGCUGUGGCACAAUGGGUUCAACAGUAUCUCUGCAGCACCAGGUUGCAGGUUCGAUCCCUGGUGCUUCAGGAUCUGGCAUUGCCACGACUGUGGUGUAGGUUGCAACUGCAGCUCAGAUCUGUUUCCUGGCCCAGGAACUCCAU
ensembl:lncRNA